GUGAAUCUGAUUUCCUGGUAUCUUGAUCUUGGCUUUUCCCUGGUUAUUCUGAAUUCUGGUUUCCCUGACUUGGCUUGUGUAAACGGUAUUGUGUAUUUUCUGUCUUCCUUGACCUCGGCUUUCCCUUUGACCAUUCUCUGUCUCUAGCAUAUUAGUCCGGCCAUUCUAAGGUCUGGUUUACACUCUGUCCUUUUAUUUUCCUUCUCUUGCCUAUGUAUAUGUUUACAUAGUUUCUGCGUGCUGGACCACACUAGUAGUCGUG